rnacentral:rRNA from 1 species
UACGAAGGGGGCUAGCGUUGCUCGGAAUCACUGGGCGUAAAGCGCACGUAGGCGGCUUUUUAAGUCAGGGGUGAAAUCCUGGAGCUCAACUCCAGAACUGCCUUUGAUACUGAGAAGCUUGAGUCCGGGAGAGGUGAGUGGAACUGCGAGUGUAGAGGUGAAAUUCGUAGACAUUCGCAAGAACACCAGUGGCGAAGGCGGCUCACUGGCCCGGUACUGACGCUGAGGUGCGAAAGCGUGGGGAGCAAACAGG